ACUCCUACGGGAGGCAGCAGUGGGGAAUCUUAGACAAUGGGCGCAAGCCUGAUCUAGCCAUGCCGCGUGAGUGAUGAAGGCCUUAGGGUCGUAAAGCUCUUUCGCCAGGGAUGAUAAUGACAGUACCUGGUAAGAACCCGGCUAACUCCGUGCCAGCAGCCGCGGUAAUACGGAGGGGUUAGCGUUGUUCGGAAUUACUGGGCGUAAAGCGCACGUAGGCGGAUUAGUCAGUCAGAGGUGAAAUCCCAGGGCUCAACCCUGGAACUGCCUUUGAUACUGCUAGUCUUGAGUUCGAGAGAGGUGAGUGGAAUUCCGAGUGUAGAGGUGAAAUUCGUAGAUAUUCGGAGGAACACCAGUGGCGAAGGCGGCUCACUGGCUCGAUACUGACGCUGAGGUGCGAAAGUGUGGGAGCAAACAGGAUUAGAUACCCUGGUAGGCUCUG
rnacentral:rRNA from 1 species